UACGGAGGAUCCAAGCGUUAUCCGGAUUUAUUGGGUUUAAAGGGUGCGUAGGUGGCUUAUUAAGUCAGGGGUGAAAGACGGUAGCUUAACUAUCGCAGUGCCUUUGAUACUGAUGGGCUUGAAUGUACUUGAGGUAGGCGGAAUGUGACAAGUAGCGGUGAAAUGCAUAGAUAUGUCACAGAACACCAAUUGCGAAGGCAGCUUACUAAAGUAUGAUUGACGCUGAGGCACGAAAGCGUGGGGAUCAAACAGG
rnacentral:rRNA from 1 species